GCGAAGAGUGGGUCACGACCUAUUGAUGAGUCACGAGAAGACUUUGGGUCGGGUCACGCCAAAUAUUAAGAUAUAAAAUGCUUGAAAGUGGAAAUUUUGGGGACAUAUAUUUGUAGGGAUAUUAGUCCUUAAAGUCGUUUUACACCCUAGGGAAAACUAACGCGCCCGUAGCGUUUAUGACAUUUUAAGUAUCGAUGGUUGCAGUACUCUUUGAUUAAAGGACAACAUGGGAUUGCUCAAGUUCUCAAGAGCCAUUGCCAAGUACAUUCUUUACAACAUCGAUAAUCGAUAUAUCAUAGUUUUGUUUAGUUUAUACAAUGUACAUACAUAGUGCCUAGCUAUGACUCCUGUAAUUUGCUCCAUCGUGAUAAAAUAUUCAGAGGGAGAAUCUUCUAUUGUAAUGCUCUUUGAUUGAAUAAACUGAAUUGUUGACUUAA